rnacentral:tRNA from 1 species
GGUUAGCUCAGUGGUUCCGGCGCCUGCCUCGCAAGCGCAAGGUCCUGAGUUCGAUCCCCGGUAACCA